UACGGAGGGUGCAAGCGUUGUCCGGAUUUAUUGGGUUUAAAGGGUGCGUAGGCGGCCCGUUAAGUCAGCGGUGAAAUCCCAGGGCUCAACCCCGGAACCGCCGUUGAUACUGGUCGGCUUGAGUAUGGACGAGGUUGGCGGAAUUGAGGGUGUAGCGGUGAAAUGCUUAGAUACCCUCAAGAACACCGAUUGCGUAGGCAGCUAACUAGGCCAUAACUGACGCUGAGGCACGAAAGCGUGGGGAGCAAACAGG
rnacentral:rRNA from 1 species